AAGAAACGAAUCGGCGCUGAGACU
rnacentral:miRNA from 1 species